GUGCUCGCUUUGGCAGCACACAUAAUAAAAUUGGAAGGAUACAGAGAAGAUAAACAUGGCCCCUGGGCAAAGAUGACAUGCAAAUUCGUGAAGCAUUCCAUUAAAAA
rnacentral:snRNA from 1 species